rnacentral:rRNA from 1 species
UGAAAAGAUUGAGGAGAAUCCAAGGAAACCUAGAUAUAUAAAAACAGUAUGGGGAGUGGGGUAUAAGAUUGAAAAAGAUAUUUAAUCCGUUUACUUAUAUAAGGAAAAUAAGACAAUUAAUUGAGAAAUUAGUAAAGAGCGUACGAAAGAGUAUAAGGAUUCAAUUGAUUACUACUUUUGCUGCUUGUGCGUUAUUAGGAGUUUUGUCAGCAAAGGCAGCAGCACCGUUUUUUGAGAAUGCGAAUCGUCAAGCAACUAUCGAUUAUCGGGCUGGUAUGGAACAAAUUAAUCACCAAGCUCAAGGAGCGGCAAAUAGUUCGGUUCAUGAAAAUAAAUUAGAAGCUAUAUCAAAUAUGAUCGAAAUGGAGAACCAAAAUUUAGAGCAAGGGUCUAGAGCUUUGAAGAUAUUGGUUACUGAUGAAAGUGGUAAAGUUUUAUAUAAAACAAAGCAAGCGCAAGAAGAGCAAAUCGAUUUGCAUAAUACGAUUCGUAAUGCAGCAUCAUUCGCGAUUAAUUAUACAGAUGGUAGAAAUGUAUUUGAAAGUACAAGAAAAGAGUUUAUAUCUUUUUCACCUAUUACUAUUGAAGGAAAGAAUUUGUACAUGUUUGUUAGUGGAAUUCCAGAGGGAGAGGUAAUAUAUGAUACGCAAGAAGGACCAUUCCCAUUUUUAAUUGGUGUACUUGUAUUCAUUUUCUCUUUCUUCUAUAUAACAAAGAGAAAGAUGAAGCAGAUUGAAGCAAUGGCACAAGGCGUAAAGGAAAUAGAAAGAGGUAACUUAGCCUACCGCAUUGAGAAAAAAGGUGAAGAUGAGAUUGCAGCUUUAACGGAGAAUAUUAAUAAUAUGGCAGAAGAGCUUAUGAAUAAUAUAGAAAAGGAACGUAAAUUAGAAAAGCAAAAGAAUGAGCUUAUCACAAAUGUAUCGCAUGAUUUGCGUACACCACUUACUUCUAUUAUGGGUUACUUACGAUUACUUCGAGAUUCUAAAUAUGAAAAUAAAGAACAACACGAUGAGUAUACGAGAAUUGCUUUUGCAAAGUCGGAGCAGUUAAAAAAUUUAAUAGAAGAUUUAUUUGAGUAUACGAAGUUAACAAAUGAACAAGUUGUAUUAGAAAAACAAGAAGUAUGUGUAAAUGAGUUGCUUGAGCAAUUAAUAGAAGAGUUAGUACCGCAAGCGGAAGAGCAUGGACUUACUUUUGUUAAGAAGUUUCCUGAGGAACGUGCUUAUGCAUCGAUUGAUUCGGAAAAGAUGGUUCGUGUAUUUGAUAAUUUACUAAUGAAUGCAAUUAAGUAUAGUAAAGAUGAUGGAGAGAUAAAAGUUUCUCUUCAAAGGCAGCGUAGGGAUAUACAAAUUGUAAUUGCGAAUCAUAGUGAAGAGUUUACAAGAGAAGAGUUAGCGAAUUUGUUUGAACGUUUCUAUAAGAAGGAUCAAUCUCGAAGUAGAGUAACGGAAGGGUCGGGACUCGGUUUAGCGAUUGCGAAAAGUAUUGUUGAGUUACAAGGUGGUAGUAUUCGAGCGGAAUAUAGGGAUGGCACUAUUCAAUUUAUCGUCUCGUUACCAAUUAUAGAAAAAUAAUAAAUGAAUAGAAUGAUAUGUGAUAAAAAGGCUUAUUUUAAAAGAAAUAAGCCUUUUUAUAUUUUUUAUAAAAAUAUAUUGACGAUUAGAGCUUAGAGGUGUAAUAUAGAACAAGUCGCCGAUGACAAUAACGUCGUAAGCGACAAAAGAAAUGAAAAACUUAGUUGACAUUGAAAGAUGAAAAUGUUAACAUAAGGAAGUCGCAAAUGAGCGGCCAAGUAGUUCUUUGAAAACUGAACGAAACAAACAACGUGAAACGUCAAUUUUUAUUUUAGAU